UAACUCUAAUAGAAUACUACUUAAACUCUUAUUAGACUAUAAAAAUGCUAAGUAAACUUUAAUCAAAUUCAAAGAAAUCUCAAAGGAAUUAUAAAUAAAUAAUAAAAAAUCUUAAAUAAAUAUUAGAAUGAUCACAAAUAUAUCUCAAAUAUAUCUCAAUUCAAUCUUUAUUUAAUCCUAAUUAAAAUCCUAUUGGACUUCAUUCAAACUUUAGGCCAAAAAAUAACUAAAUCUUAAAUCCUAAAUAAAUCCUAAUAAAAUCCUAAAUCCUAAAUUAAAUACUCGCCAAAUCCUAAAUCCUAAACCCAAAAUCAAACCCUAAAUCCUAAAUCCAAAAUCAAACCCUAAAUCCUAAACCAAAUCCUAUCCAAAUCCUAAUCAAAUCCUAAAUACUAAAUCAAAUUCUAAUCUUAAAUCAAAUCCUAACCAAAUCCUAAUCCUAAAUCAAAUCCUAACCAAA
rnacentral:lncRNA from 1 species